rnacentral:rRNA from 1 species
AGUGAACGCUGGCGGUAGGCCUAACACAUGCAAGUCGAACGGCAGCACAGUAAGAGCUUGCUCUUACGGGUGGCGAGUGGCGGACGGGUGAGGAAUACAUCGGAAUCUACUUUUUCGUGGGGGAUAACGUAGGGAAACUUACGCUAAUACCGCAUACGACCUACGGGUGAAAGCAGGGGAUCUUCGGACCUUGCGCUAUUGAAUGAGCCGAUGUCGGAUUAGCUAGUUGGCGGGGUAAGGGCCAACCAAGGCGACGAUCCGUAGCUGGUCUGAGAGGAUGAUCAGCCACACUGGAACUGAGACACGGUCCAGACUCCUACGGGAGGCAGCAGUGGGGAAUAUUGGACAAUGGGCGCAAGCCUGAUCCAGCCAUACCGCGUGGGUGAAGAAGGCCUUCGGGUUGUAAAGCCCUUUUGUUGGGAAAGAAAAGCAGAAGGUUAAUACCUCGCUGUUCUGACGGUACCCAAAGAAUAAGCACCGGCUAACUUCGUG